UAUAAACCACUAUUCUUUAUUAAUAUCGUCAGUAUGAGAAUAUGGCACGACAUAUAUCAGGUCAUGCCUUUUUAUGGCUUAUUUAAUAUUCUGCUAUUUUAGUGUAUUCAAUGUCUAUAUUAUUAUUGUUAUUUGAAUGAUUAACUUUGCCAGCUAUUAAGUACAAAUUAUUUUCUAGAUCAAAGCUACUUCUUCUUCUGUUGUAAUGAAACACUUGAAUUCUUGGAUAAUCUGAACAGGAAACUAAGUGUCACCAGAAAGCAGCAAGAGAAAAGUGUUAAAAGUUGCCAAAGAGAGAAAGGAGAAAUUACUGUGAAAGAUUCCUUCACAGCACAGAUGUGUAAGAACUAUCUUCACCCAGAUAACUUCCUCUACACCAUGGCAAAGGUCUCCAUUUCUUACAGUGUCCCCCUGUCCCUGAUGAGAAGUCCUGGGCCCAGGAGGUCCAGUUAGGAGCCAAUAGGUGGGGGAUUCCUGCAUCUCAGAGCAGUCUCCAUGGAGACCCAAAGUGGGGUGACAUCCUACAAACCGAUAGCGAUAGAAAACCACGCCGGCACCAUCAGAGGAUCAGAGGGUGUUGAGCUCAGCCACAUGUCACCAGGGAUGAUUUAGUUUAUCUGGGUGUAAAUCAGAUGUGACUCAUCAGCAGACACUGCGCAGUCAAACGUGCAGAAAACUCACAUCGGUGCUGAAUGAGAGCCCGAAACACAGCUCGUUAUUUAAAGAGAAUUAUGAGAAUGCCACAAGUUUCGAGAAGAUCAACGCCACUGAGGAAGUGAAAGCCAAGAGUUAUAGAUGUAACGAUAGGAGGCCCUGAGGAUUUAUUAACUGUUUUGUUUGGACUUACUAAAAAGGAAUGACACCCAUUAUAGUGUAUCGCAGGAGACAGCUAUCUAACAGCCCUGUGGCUAUUACUGCAGUGGAGCUCUGUGAUAAGGUGAGGAGACUAUGACUUUCCUGUGAUGAAGCAUUCAGUAAAACAAAAGUUUUUGCUUUGUAAAUUGUUCAUUCGAUUCAAGAGUUUUCUCAAACAAGUAUUGUCCUACAAAUAAAUACCUCUGAGAGAAAAGCA
rnacentral:lncRNA from 1 species